GGAUAACGUUCGGAAACGAACGCUAAUACCGCAUGACAUUGUUGAGUCGCAUGACAUGACAAUCAAAGGAGCAAUCCGCUGAAAGAUGGGCUCGCGUCCGAUUAGGUAGUUGGUGGGGCAACGGCCCACCAAGCCGACGAUCGGUAGCCGGACUGAGAGGUUGAACGGCCACAUUGGGACUGAGACACGGCCCAGACUCCUACGGGAGGCAGCAGUGAGGGAUAUUGGUCAAUGGGGGAAACCCUGAACCAGCAACGCCGCGUGAGGGAAGACGGUUUUCGGAUUGUAAACCUCUGUCCUCUGUGAAGAUAAUGACGGUAGCAGAGGAGGAAGCUCCGGCUAACUACGUGCCAGCAGCCGCGGUAAUACGUAGGGAGCAAGCGUUGUCCGGAUUUACUGGGUGUAAAGGGUGCGUAGGCGGCUUUGCAAGUCAGAAGUGAAAUCCAUGGGCUUAACCCAUGAACUGCUUUUGAAACUGCAGAGCUUGAGUGGAGUAGAGGUAGGCGGAAUUCCCGGUGUAGCGGUGAAAUGCGUAGAGAUCGGGAGGAACACCAGUGGCGAAGGCGGCCUACUGGGCUCUAACUGACGCUGAGGCACGAAAGCGUGGGUAGCAAACAGGAUUAGAUACCCUGGUAGUCCACGCUGUAAACGAUGAUUACUAGGUGUGGGUGGACUGACCCCAUCCGUGCCGGAG
rnacentral:rRNA from 1 species